rnacentral:rRNA from 1 species
CCUACGGGAGGCAGCAGUGAGGAAUAUUGGUCAAUGGGCUUACGCCUGAACCAGCCAAGUCGCGUGAGGGAGUACUGCCCUAUGGGUUGUAAACCUCUUUUGUCGGGGAGCAAAAGCCGGACGUGUCCGGCUGUGAGAGUACCCGAAGAAAAAGCGUCGGCUAACUCCGUGCCAGCAGCCGCGGUAAUACGGAGGAUGCGAGCUUUAUCCGGUUUUAUUGGGUUUAAAGGGUUCGCAGGCGGAUUUUUAAGUCAGCGGUAAAAUCGUGGGUCUAAACCCCAUCCAGCCGUUGAAACUGGGGGUCUAGAGGGUGGGAGAGGUAUGCGGAAUGCGUGGUGUAGCGGUGAAAUGCAUAGAUAUCACGAAGAACCCCGAUUGCGAAGGCAGCAUACUGGUGCACAACUGACGCUGAGGCACGAAAGCGUGGGUAUCGAACAGGAUUAGAUACCCCUGUAGUC